AAAAAAAUCACACAAGAACCCACACUGGUUAGAAACCUUUUGCCUGUUCAGAUUGUGGCAAAAGAUUCCAUCAGAAGACACACCUUAGAGAGGACACACAGGAACCCAGAAUGAUAUCAGCAAAGAUGCUUGUCCUGAGCGGCUGGAUGCAGAGCCCUUUCACAUUAAAGAGGAAGAGGAGAA